rnacentral:rRNA from 1 species
UCGAGAAUUUUUCUCAAUGGGGGAAACCCUGAAGGAGCGACGCCGCGUGGAGGAUGAAGGUCUUCGGAUUGUAAACUCCUGUCAUGAGGGAACAAACCCGCGCGUUUAACUGGCGCGCGGCUGAUAGUACCUCAAGAGGAAGAGACGGCUAACUCUGUGCCAGCAGCCGCGGUAAUACAGAGGUCUCAAGCGUUGUUCGGAUUCAUUGGGCGUAAAGGGUGCGUAGGUGGCGAAGCAAGUCAGGUGUGAAAUCCCGGGGCUCAACCCCGGAACUGCACUUGAUACUGCUUUGCUCGAGGACUGGAGAGGAGAUCGGAAUUCACGGUGUAGCAGUGAAAUGCGUAGAUAUCGUGAGGAAGGCCAGUGGCGAAGGCGGAUCUCUGGACAGUUCCUGACACUGAGGCACGAAGGCCAGGGGAGCAAACGGGAUUAGAUACCCCCGUAGUCC